GAUGAACGCUAGCUACAGGCUUAACACAUGCAAGUCGAGGGGCAGCAUGAACUUAGCUUGCUAAGUUUGAUGGCGACCGGCGCACGGGUGAGUAACACGUGAGCGACUUGCCCGUCACAGGGGGAUAACCGGCGGAAACGGCGACUAAUACCCCAUAUGAUGCGAUGCUGCAUGGCAUUGCAUUGAAAGAUUCAUCGGUGGCGGAUAGGCUCGCGGGACAUUAGCUAGACGGCGGGGCAACGGCCCACCGUGGCGACGAUGUCUAGGGGUUCUGAGAGGAAGGCCCCCCACACUGGGACUGAGACACGGCCCAGACUCCUACGGGAGGCAGCAGUGAGGAAUAUUGGUCAAUGGGCGGAAGCCUGAACCAGCCAUGCCGCGUGAAGGACUAAGGCCCUACGGGUCGUAAACUUCUUUAGACGCAGAGCAAUAAGGUCCACGCGUGGACCGAUGAGAGUAUGCGUAGA
rnacentral:rRNA from 1 species